rnacentral:rRNA from 1 species
UACGGAGGAUGCAAGCGUUAUCCGGAAUUAUUGGGCGUAAAGCGUCCGCAGGUGGUUUAUCAAGUCUGCUGUCAAAGCGCGAGGCUUAACUUCGUAAAGGCAGUGGAAACUGAUAGACUGGAGUGCGGUAGGGGCAGAGGGAAUUCCCAGUGUAGCGGUGAAAUGCGUAGAUAUUGGGAAGAACACCGGUGGCGAAGGCGGCCUGCUGGGCAGUUGCUGACACUGAGGCGCGACAGCGUGGGGAGCAAACAGG